rnacentral:rRNA from 1 species
CCGGUGGUGGUGAUCUUGCCUCAUCGGGGAGCUUCCCGGAAACGAAAGACUUCCGGUUCCGGGGGUAGUAUGGUUGCAAAGCUGGAAACUUAAAGGAAUUGACGGAAUCGCACCACCAGGAGUGGAGCCUGCGGCUUAAAUUUGACUCAACACGGGAAAACUCACCCGGCCCGGACACUGGAAUGAUUGACAGACUGAAAGCUCUUUCUUGAUUCGGUGGUUGGUGGUGCAUGGCCGUUCUUAGUUGGUGGAGCGAUUUGUCUGGUUUAUUCCGAUAACGAGCGAGACGCAAGCCUACUUAAUACACCGUGGAUAAUUUCGUCCACCGGUGUUCUUAGAGGAAUGGGCGGUAUAGAGCCGCACGAAAGUGCGCAAUAACAGGUCUGUGAUGCCCUUAGAUGUUCGGGGCUGCACGCGUGCUACACUGGAGUCUGCAGCGUGUUCCAUGGCCGAAGGGUCAUUGGUAAACCGUUGAAAAGACUCCGUGAUCGGGAUAGGGAAUUGCAAUUAUUUCCCUUCAACGAGGAAUUCCUAGUAAGUGUGAGUCAUCAUCUCGCUCUU